CACAACUCCAUCCAAAAUCCCUUAAACUGAAGAAAAGGUUUUUACUCAAGAACAAAAGGGAAUCCUCUUAUUCUUCCCUCUGGGAGCACUGGAGGGUCAUAAAGAGGAAGAUGUUCCUAACCAAACAUGGCAGUGAGGGGAGACCCUGGAUUCACUUGUGCUUGUCUCAUAGACAGUGAAUGCAUUGAACAUUUUCCCAGAAGGAUUGUGGUUUGUCCAGUCUUUUCCUCAGCAAUGGUGUCUUCCUUGGCCUUCGCCCAUGAAGCCCUGUUUGGUUUAGUGUGCGGCGUAUGGUACUUGUUGAAGCCAUGACCCCAGACUGUUCCAGUUUGGCCUUCAGGUCUUUGGAUGUUUGACGUGGUGUUUUGUCCAACAUUCACACUGCUUCGAAGACUUCUCUCAUCAAUUUUUCUCUUCCCCCCCACGUCCAGGGAGGUUCUUGACAGUUCCAUGCUUGGCAAACUUCUUAAUAACAUUAAGCAAUGUUGAA